rnacentral:rRNA from 1 species
GACGAACGCUGGCGGCGUGCCUAAUACAUGCAAGUAGAACGCAGUUGCGAACGGGUGAGUAACGCGUAGGUAACUGCCUGGUAGCGGGGGAUAACUAUUGGAAACGAUAGCUAAUACCGCAUACUACCAGAUGGACCUGCGUUGUAUUAGCUAGUUGGUGAGGUAACGUGUCACCAAGGCAACGAUACAUAGCCGACCUGAGAGUGUGAGCGGACACACGGGGACUGAGACGCGGCCCAGAGCCCUACGAGAGGCAGCCGUAGGGAUGCUUCGGCAAGGGGGGCAACACUGGCCGGGCAACUCCGCGUGAGUUAAGAAGGUUUUCGAAUAGUACGGCGCUGUUGUUAAGGAAGCGGUACUUAACCAGAAAGGGACGGCUAACUACGUGCCAGCAGCCGCGGUAAUAC